AGUGAACGCUGGCGGUAGGCCUAACACAUGCAAGUCGAACGGCAGCACAGUAAGAGCUUGCUCUUACGGGUGGCGAGUGGCGGACGGGUGAGGAAUACAUCGGAAUCUACUUUUUCGUGGGGGAUAACGUAGGGAAACUUACGCUAAUACCGCAUACGACCUACGGGUGAAGGCAGGGAUCUUCGGACCUUGCGCGAUUGAAUGAGCCGAUGUCGGAUUAGCUAGUUGGCGGGGUAAAGGCCCACCAAGGCGACGAUCCGUAGCUGGUCUGAGAGGAUGAUCAGCCACACCGGAACUGAGACACGGUCCAGACUCCUACGGGAGGCAGCAGUGGGGAAUAUUGGACAAUGGGCGCAAGCCUGAUCCAGCCAUACCGCGUGGGUGAAGAAGGCCUUCGGGUUGUAAAGCCCUUUUGUUGGGAAAGAAAAGCAGCAGGUUAAUACCCCGCUGUUCUGACGGUACCCAAAGAAUAAGCACCGGCUAACUUCGUG
rnacentral:rRNA from 1 species